AGAGCGAACGCUGGCGGCAGGCCUAACACAUGCAAGUCGAGCGCCCGUAGCAAUACGGGAGCGGCAGACGGGAUAGUAACACGUGGGAACGCGCCCUUCGGUUCGGAAUAACUCAGGGAAACUUGAGCUAAUACCGGAUACGCCCUUACGGGGAAAGAUUUAUUGCCGAAGGAACGGCCCGCGUCCGAUUAGCUAGUUGGUGAGGUAAUGGCUCACCAAGGCGACGAUCGGUAGCUGGUCUGAGAGGAUGACCAGCAUCACUGGGACUGAGACACGGCCCAGACUCCUACGGGAGGCAGCAGUGGGGAAUAUUGGACAAUGGGCGCAAGCCUGAUCCAGCCAUGCCGCGUGGAUGAUGAAGGCCUUAGGGUUGUAAAGUCCUUUUAACGGGGAAGAUAAUGACGGUACCCGUAGAAUAAGCCCGGCUAACUUCGCGCCAGCAGCCGC
rnacentral:rRNA from 1 species